GGAGAGAUUGUUGCCUCGAGAAUUGAUUUUGAUGAGCACAAAACAUUUGAAAGGGGUACUAAUGAUCUUUGUCUUCGGAGAUGUUUUAAAAGUUUAUUUCAGGAGAUCCAAGAAAUUUUGAAUUGAAAGAAAUGUUUGAAAUGGGCCAAAAUAGCAAAUUCUUUGGAUUGGAGGUGAAGUUGAAGUUUUUCGGAAGCCUCAAAAUC
rnacentral:lncRNA from 1 species